CCGCCACUUACCCUACCUAGGGACCAAUUUUUAACAAUUUUGGAAAAGCCUCUUCCCUUAAAGACACAAGAAACUCUUCUGCCUAGUGACCACCUGUAGGUCUGGGAUUUGAGUACCCUGCCUAAGUCUCCCGCCACUUACCCUACCUAGGGACCAAUUUUUAACAAUUUUGGAAAAGCCUCUUCCCUUAAAGACACAAGAAACUCUUCUGCCUAGUGACCACCUGUAGGUCUGGGAUUUGAGUACCCUGCCUAAGUCUCCCGCCACUUACCCUACCUAGGGACCAAUUUUUAACAAUUUUGGA